AACAAUGAAGAACAAGGGCAACAAAAAGGAAAAUAAAACAAAUUAAAAAAUUAAAUUUAAAAAGUUUAAAUAUGAAUAGUAAGAGUAUAUUUAAACAUUGAAAUUUAAAACACCCCUAAAACUUCAGAAGCCACGUUCUUGUAGCAAGUUUUACAUAUACUACCUAUGUUCAAUGGAAGGGCUGUGAUCCUGAAAAGGGUAACCAUGUUUUUCAGACUCCUUAAAAACAAAUGUAACCAUUUUGAGAUUUUCUAACUUGAGAUAUCCCAGAAAAAUUUAUUUACCUGAAUAAAUUCUUCAUGGUUUUUAGUACUGGAACGUCUAGAAUUGCAACAGCUUUUUGCCUUUUCUAUAAAUUUAUAUUAUUUAAAAACAUAACUUCAGAAUCUACCUUUCUUAAAUUCUUUGUGGCUAUUCUUAUUUUUGUAAUUUACAAAGCAUGAUAAAACACAGAUGAAACAAAGAAAAGUGUCAGCAAUUCCUUAAGAGAAACUCUUUUGUUUGCUCUUGCACUUUCUGUGGUGUUGACAGAAUGAGUGUGUCAGGGUCCUGCAAUGCUAAUUCUUCAUCUGAAGUUUAAGUUUGUUGUCAUGGGUUCCCACCUUCCCACAUCUUUCCUAAUUGUCAUUGCCUGUCUUUGUACAUUGUUUGAUCUUUAGCAGUUGAUUGACUUGGAUUUUUAAUAUUUUCUGGUUCCCUUUCUUCUUUAUCUUGGUUGUUGUCUAUCCGGUUUGAGAGCAUUAUUCUGUUCCUAAGGCUUUUUGUAUACUUCCCAAACUUGAUAGGCUAUGCAUGACCUUCAUUGUUGAACCUAUUAGGGUAUGGAAGUAUAAACAUGAAAGGUUUAUUUUGAAUAAAUAUAUGUAUUGUCUACAUAUAUA